ACGGUUCUUCCAUCUUCCAUAUAAUUUUUUUAAUUAAAAAAAACAGUCAUAAAUUAGAAGAAUUCACUACAUACUUUUUUUGGGUGCAAUUCACUGCAUACCCUUUUUUUAAUUCAGUACAUACGUUAAUAAUGUUAUAAGUUUUCUUUUAAUAAGAUAAGCCUGAGAACAUAUUUAUAAUCUCCGAAAUCCUAAGCAAUAUCUUGAUUUCUUUGUCACUCUUUGUUUAUUCAGAGAAGAGUUUUAUCAAUGACCAAGCCGGUCUUGGUUAAAAACACAAAGGAAAUGUUCGCAAACCUGGACUUUCCUGAAUCUGUCAAAGUCGCAGAUUUUGGGUGUUCGUCGGGACAAAACACGUUUCUAGUGAUGUCUGAGAUUGUCGAUGCAAUCAAUUUUCUAUGUCAAGAACGAAACCAAAAACAGACAGAGAUAGAAUGUUGUUUGAAUGAUCUCCCUAGUAACGAUUUCAACGCAGUUUUCAAGCUCAUAGCUCUCUUCAAGAAAAAAGUGACAAGUGAAGGAUCGUGCUUCAUAUCUGGAGUCCCUGGUUCUUUUUACUCUAGGCUUUUCCCUCGCAAUUCUCUCCAUUUGGUACAUUCAGUUUACAGUAUUCAUUUCCUCUCUAAGGUAUUUUAUAUUAAACUUCUGCAUACUGUAAUACAGUAAAACUCUAUAUAUUAAUCAUGUUGAAACUAUGGUAUUUUAUAAAUUUAUAAAAAUUCAAUUAAGAACUUAUAUAAACUAAAUUAUGCAUUUAUGAUUCUAGUGGGACAAUAUAUUUACAUAAAAUUUAUAAAACUAUUAUUUUAUCGAUUUGUGAUAUAUUUCAAUUUGGUCCAACUCGGAAUCGAUAAAUUUUUAUUUAUCGAGUAUUAAUUUCUAGAGUUUCUAUUGUAUAUAACUAUUUGAUUUUUGGACUUUAAGGUUCCGGACAGACUCGAGAAGAACAACAUGAAUGUGUACAUAACAGCUUCAAGUCCUCUAAGUAACUACAUUGCUUACUUGAAUCAAUUCCAAAGAGAUUUCUCAACAUUUCUGAAAGUGCGGUCGGAAGAGAUGGUUUCUAAUGGACGAGUGAUUCUUACAAUCAUGGGCAGAAACACUAUUGAUGAUCCAUUGUAUAGGGAUUGUUGUCAUUGCUGGACAUUAUUAUCCAACUCUCUCCGUGACUUAGUCUUGGAGGUAUCAAGGAAAAAAUAUCCAUAUUUGGAUAUGUUCACGUACGCAUGAUUUCAAAGAUUUAAUCUUGUCAUGAUUUUUUUAUAGGGUCUUCUGAGUGCAUCAAAAGUGAAUUCGUUCAAAAUCCCUUUUUAUGAUCCGACCAAGGAAGAAGUUAAGGAGAUAAUAAGAGAAGAAGGAUCCUUCCAAAUAAACGACUUGGAGACACAUGGAUUUGAUCUCGGCCACAGUUACGAGGAUUGUGUUUCACAAUCAGGUAGAGAAGGACAAAAAGAAGCUGGUUGUAUAAGAGCAGUGACAGAAUCAAUGCUCGUAGCUCACUUUGGAGAUUCCAUCAAUAUCGACACACUGUUUAGCAAGUAUGCGCAUCAUGCGUCUCAGCAUGCUAGCUGCAAGAUCAAAACUACUGUAACUCUAGUCGUUUCAUUGAUUCGGAAAUAACUCUAGUUCUUACUCUCAUUGUUAGGAUUCAAAUAGGGUAUUUUGAAUUUUCAUAUUUUCAGGUGUACGCUCCUAAGUCAUAUUCUAAUAUUUUAUUAGUAUGAAUGGGUUAGAUAAUAACACUUCGGGUUCGGUUCAAAUUUGUAUUACAUCCUAAAAUCCAUAAAGUUACCACUUUGAGUUAUAUAAAUUUGAUUCGGAUAUAUCUGAAGUAAAAAACAAAUUUUAAAGCAAAACAUAAAAAAAUACUUAAAUUGAAUAGAAUUUAAUCUAACACACAUCAAAUUGAAUAAAAUAACAGUAAUAUAUUAAAUCAAGCACGAAAACAAACAUUGUUUGUAGACAAUAUGCAUUAUCUUAUAGAUAGAGUAGACUUGAUAUUUCAACGAGCAAAUUUCGAAGUACUUAUUUAUAAAUAAUUGGGUAGUUACAGUAUCUAAAAUUUAAAUAUUUAUUUUUAUAUAUCAUAUCAACAUAAAUAUUGAAUUGAGUAUUUGAAAAUACUUAUAUACAUCGAUAUAUGUAUAUGUAUUUCAAAUAUUUAUAUUGACUAUAAUUUUGGAUUUUUCAUAUUAGUCGUUUGGGUUCGGUUAAUAACAUCUUGGGUUCCAGUAAGUUUUAAAACACCUUACAAAACAUGUUCGGGUUUUUUAUAUUUCGGAUCGGAUAACGGAUCGGGUUUUUCAGUUCAGAUCUCGGGUUCUGGAUUUUAUGCCAGCCCUAGAGACUAUCUAGCUUGUCUGUACACAUGACAUAUUAUCCACAGGUUUCGUUUUGAGCUCGUUCAUUUUGUUGGCUUGUUUCCAGGGUUAUUUUCUCGAUGGCCCAAUUAUUUUGUUACACGAUUUACUUUGAAAGCAAAUAAUGUUUUUUUCUGUGGAACACACAAAUAAUGUUUGAUUCCACAUUGGUUACAUUUACACAAAACCUCAUCUCGUAUUGAUAUUGUUCUUUUAGGACCUCUAUAGCAAUACUCUUUUUUUUUUUGUAAACGAAAUAUAUAGCAAUAUUCUUUUUUUUUUGUAACUGGUUAUAUAGCAAUAUUCUUUUUUCUUUUUAUUUGAGAAAGUGACGGUACCCUAUUGCACAUUAAUUAUAUUGUUCGUAUUCGAUAAACACACACACACACAUAUUUAUAUAUAUAUAGAUAUAUAUGAAGCCAUAUCAGAACAACUAACUAAUUCAGUCUCUUUUGGUUAAUUAAUAUGUUGAAUAUUUUUUUUUUUUGGUAAACUUCGAAAAUAUUGUUUCUUUUCUCUUUGUAUGUUGGAUAUUAAUUUUGUUAUAACAUUUAAUAAAACUACAAAAUGACAUUUCUCAUUAAUUAUUUUCAACUAAUUUUAAAAUAUUUAAAUGAAUAAAAUAUAUAUAUAAUAGUAAUUAUAUUUUUCUUAAAAUUCAUACUUAACAUUUUAUCAAAUAAUGUAUACAAAUUUAAAUAAAUUAUGUAAAAUUUAAAUUACAUAAAUUAUGGAUGCAAUGAAAUACAAUUUUGUAAGCAAAAUAAUUUUGAACUUUGAAAAUCCAAGUCAAAAUCUACUAUUACUUAAAAAUAAAGUAUUAUAUUGUUGAUAUACCUAUACAAAUAUUUCUAAAGAAUAUUUUAGUAGUUAUUUCUCUAAAUUUGAUUCACUAAAUAUUUAUAUACAAAUAUUUCUAAAGAUAUAUAUAUAUACAAAUAUUUCUAAAGAAUAUUUUAGUAGUUAUUUCUCUAACCUUUUUAGACUUUUUCUAUAUCCAAUGUAAUCCACUAUAUUUUCCUUCACUAACAAAGGUUCCCCAAUCUAGGACCUAACUAGUAUAAAAACCAUUAUUCUUUCACUAGAACUAAUAUAUUAUAUUCCCAGAUCAGUUACUAAUAUUAUUAAUAAAAACAUACCUCAAAAUAUAAUGUCAAAGAACAUAAAAUAUUAUAUAAAAUUUGAACAGGGUUUACUUUUACACAAUAUCUAACAACACACUUCAAACUAUACCAUUUAAUAAUUUUAUCAUAUACGCCAAAUAUAUUUUAUCUAUUAAAUAAAAAAUUAUUGCGCAUGGCACGAUCUUAAACUAGUUUUUGUGUCUGAUGCAGGUGUAAUGGUAAAAGUGAAAAUAAUGGCGAUGGAGAGGAUAGUAGUAAAUAUCCUUAUGUGAGUGCUCUAUGCAUGAACGGUGGUGAUGGAGAUAAGAGUUACUCCGCCAAUUCUCUUAUUACGGUUCUUCCAUCUUCCAUAUAAUUUUUUUAAUUAAAAAAAACAGUCAUAAAUUAGAAGAAUUCACUACAUACUUUUUUUGGGUGCAAUUCACUGCAUACCCUUUUUUUAAUUCAGUACAUACGUUAAUAAUGUUAUAAGUUUUCUUUUAAUAAGAUAAGCCUGAGAACAUAUUUAUAAUCUCCGAAAUCCUAAGCAAUAUCUUGAUUUCUUUGUCACUCUUUGUUUAUUCAGAGAAGAGUUUUAUCAAUGACCAAGCCGGUCUUGGUUAAAAACACAAAGGAAAUGUUCGCAAACCUGGACUUUCCUGAAUCUGUCAAAGUCGCAGAUUUUGGGUGUUCGUCGGGACAAAACACGUUUCUAGUGAUGUCUGAGAUUGUCGAUGCAAUCAAUUUUCUAUGUCAAGAACGAAACCAAAAAC
rnacentral:lncRNA from 1 species